rnacentral:rRNA from 1 species
UACGUAGGGUGCAAGCGUUAAUCGGAAUUACUGGGCGUAAAGCGUGCGCAGGCGGCUUUGCAAGACAGAUGUGAAAUCCCCGGGCUUAACCUGGGAACUGCAUUGGUGACUGGCAAGCUAGAGUGUGGCAGAGGGGGGUAGAAUUCCACGUGUAGCAGUGAAAUGCGUAGAGAUGUGGAGGAAUACCGAUGGCGAAGGCAGCCCCCUGGGCCAACACUGACGCUCAUGCACGAAAGCGUGGGGAGCAAACAGG